rnacentral:rRNA from 1 species
UACGUAGGGUGCGAGCGUUAAUCGGAAUUACUGGGCGUAAAGCGUGCGCAGGCGGCUUUGCAAGACAGAUGUGAAAUCCCCGGGCUCAACCUGGGAACUGCAUUUGUGACUGCAUGGCUGGAGUGCGGCAGAGGGGGAUGGAAUUCCGCGUGUAGCAGUGAAAUGCGUAGAUAUGCGGAGGAACACCGAUGGCGAAGGCAAUCCCCUGGGCCAUUACUGACGCUGAGGAGCGAAAGCGUGGGGAGCGAACAGG